GUCAGAUGAUCUUCAUAAGAGGUUAAACACUCACUGAGCACAUAUGUCACACACUGGCAACCAAGGUAGUGAAGAAUCACAAUCAUUGAAGUAAUGAGGACCCCAAGGAUAAUAUGACUGCUUUAGUAGGCACAGCAGUGAUGUAACCAGGACUGAAGAAAGGAGCCUUGAUACGAGAACAGUCAUUCUAUUAGUGAGUGCCUGCUUCAAAGGUUAUCCUUGAUGAAUAUGAUACAAUUAGUGGUCAAUGACCAACUCCAUUUCGAUGGAUUUAAUCCAUUUCUAUUUAGGUAGACAGUUGUAGAGUGGCAUUUGAGGUUGAACCCUUGUACUUUGGAAAACUACAUGGAUUGUGUUGCUACUUUUCAGUGAGGCAGCAAUGAACAUGAUGAACCUGCAGAAUAAAGUUUCAAUCACUGUAUGAACUAUCCAUGGACAUCAAUUUGGCUAGACUGCAGUUCUCCCUGUGUUAGUCAGUAGGGAGCAUAAAUAGUGAAAAUUGUUUCUUACACAGGUUUUUUGCCACUGUGGUGGACAUUGCUCUAGAUCCUGUUUGAAUCAGAUGGUACAGCCUAAAUUCUGCUUCCUUGCUGAACUUGACCCCCUGCAAAUGCAUCAGUUCUCCUUCAUUGCUAUUUGGCUAUUCCUGGGGCUAGAGAUAAGGCAGGUAGCGUAGGGCCUCUCUGGGUUAUGAAAGGCCUGACUUAUGGAAAUCUGACUUUAUGCAAAUUCUCCAAUAGAUUUUUAAAUAAUUUUUCAAGAUAGGGAAGUUAACCAUAGAAAUGCAAGCCUCUUCAGGAGUUAUGGAAUAAGGGUAGCAGCUAGUUAAUUCAAAUGACAACCAGUCUUCGAAGACUGUUUACAUGUAAUCUCCCUUCAAUAAUCAAACAGAAACCCAUGUCUGCUAAGACCAGGGCUGCCAGUUCACAGCAGGAGGUCACUUUAGAGAUUUGCUUUGGAAAUUGACAAGGCAAUCACUUCUAUUGACACUUGUAAAAUACUUCAUGAAACAAUGUAACGUCCAUUGAUGCAUUAAGGCCAUCGAAGCUAGCUAUUGGAUAUGGGACAUUCUGAUUCUGUACCAUUGUAACUACACAGAAGACAAAUAAAUAUUCAUGUUAAUUGA